UCUGCAUCUCGGCCUACUGGCUAAAAUCAAGUGUAGUUUGUGUUCUGAUCAGUUUUAAUAUCUGAUAUGCCCUUUCUGUAAGGAUCCUGUAUUUAACUGAUUUUUGGAGCAGGGAGUUGGAGUAGGGGCUUGCUCCAUCCACUCUGCGCAUCGACUUGGUAUUGCAGUGCUUCCAGGAAUGGUGCACCCCUC